rnacentral:rRNA from 1 species
CUACGGGAGGCACCAGUGGGGAAUAUUGCACAAUGGGGGAAACCCUGAUGCAGCAACGCCGCGUGGAGGAUGACGCAUUUCGGUGUGUAAACUCCUUUUAUAUAGGAAGAUAAUGACGGUACUAUAUGAAUAAGCACCGGCUAACUCCGUGCCAGCAGCCGCGGUAAUACGGAGGGUGCAAGCGUUACUCGGAAUCACUGGGCGUAAAGCGCGCGCAGGCGGCCUUUUAAGUUGGAUGUGAAAGCCUAUGGCUUAACCAUAGAACUGCAUCCAAAACUAUCAGGCUAGAGUUUGGGAGGGGAAGAUGGAAUUAGUUGUGUAGGGGUAAAAUCCGUAGAGAUAACUAGGAAUACCAAAAGCGAAGGCGAUCUUCUGGAACAGUACUGACGCUGAGGCGCGAAAGCGUGGGGAGCAAACAGGAUUAGAUACCCCCGUAGUC